UACGGAGGGUCCGAGCGUUAUCCGGAAUCAUUGGGUUUAAAGGGUCCGCAGGCGGUCAAUUAAGUCAGUGGUGAAAGCCUGCAGCUUAACUGUAGAAUUGCCAUUGAAACUGAUAGCCUUGAGUCUGUUCGAGGUGGAUGGAAUGUAUCAUGUAGCGGUGAAAUGCUUAGAUAUGAUACAGAACACCGAUUGCGAAGGCAGUCCACUAGACCAGUACUGACGCUGAGGCACGAAAGCAUGGGUAUCGAACAGG
rnacentral:rRNA from 1 species